GAUGAACGCUAGCGGCAGGCUUAAUACAUGCAAGUCGAGGGGCAGCAUGAUUGUAGCAAUACAAUUGAUGGCGACCGGCAAACGGGUGCGGAACACGUACACAACCUUCCAACAAGUGGGGGAUAGCCCAGAGAAAUUUGGAUUAAUACCCCGUAACAUAGCGAUGUGGCAUCACAUUGCUAUUAUAGAUUUUUCGCUUGUUGAUGGGUGUGCGGCUGAUUAGAUAGUUGGCGGGGUAACGGCCCACCAAGUCUACGAUCAGUAGCUGAUGUGAGAGAAUGAUCAGCCACACGGGAACUGAGACGCGGGCCCGACUCCUACGGGAGGCAGCAGUAAGGAAUAUUGGACAAUGGACGCAAGUUUGAUCCAGCCAUGCCGCGUGAAGGAUUAAGGUCCUCUGGAUUGUAAACUUCUUUUAUAAGGGACGAAAAAAGGCUUUUCUAAGUCGUCUGACGGUACCUUAUGAAUAAGCACCGGCUAACUCCGUGCCAGCCGCCGCGGUAAGAC
rnacentral:rRNA from 1 species